CGCUGGCGGCGUGCCUAACACAUGCAAGUCGAACGAGGUCCAUCCUUCGGGAGAAGACCUAGUGGCGAACGGGUGAGUAACACGUGAGGAACCUGCCCCGAAGACCGGGAUAACCCUCCGAAAGGAGAGCUAAUACCGGAUACCCCCACCGAACCGCAUGGUUUGGUGAGGAAAUGGAUUCCGCUUCGGGAGGGCCUCGCGGCCUAUCAGCUAGUUGGUGGGGUAACGGCCCACCAAGGCAUCGACGGGUAGCUGGUCUGAGAGGACGAUCAGCCACACUGGGACUGAGACACGGCCCAGACUCCUACGGGAGGCAGCAGUGGGGAAUCUUGCGCAAUGGGCGAAAGCCUGACGCAGCAACGCCGCGUGGGGAUGAAGGCUCUCGGGUUGUAAACCCCUUUCAGCAGGGACGAAUCAAGACGGUACCUGCAGAAGAAGCCCCGGCUAACUACGUG
rnacentral:rRNA from 1 species